rnacentral:lncRNA from 1 species
GGAGUCCGGAUGAAGUUUACCAUCAGUCGAGGUCGGGGAUGAAGUCCGGCUCCCGUAGGAGUCCGGGCGGAGUCUUCCCGUAGCCGGAGUUGGAGACGAGGUCUGGNNNNNNNNNNNNNNNNNNNNAGUCGAGGUCGGGGAUGAAGUCCGGCUCCCGUAGGAGUCCGGGCGGAGUCUUCCCGUAGCCGGAGUUGGAGAAGAGGUCUGGCUCCCAUAGGAGUCUGGGCGAAGUCUACCUGCAAUUAGAGUCAGGGGCAAAGUCUGGCUCCCGUAGGUGUCCGGAUGGAGUUUACCAUCAGUCGAGGUCGGGGAUGAAGUCCGGCUCCCGUAGGAGUCUGGGCGGAGUCUUCCCGUAGCCGGAGUUGGAGACGAGGUCUGGCUCCCGUAGGAGUCUGGGCGAAGUCUACAUGCAAUUAGAGUCAGGGGCGAGGUCCGGCUCCUGUAGGAGUCCGGAUGAAGUUUACCAUCAGUCGAGGUCGGGGAUGAAGUCCGGCUCCCGUAGGAGUCCGGGCGGAGUCUUCCCAUAGCCGGAGUCGGAGACGAGGUCUGGCUCCCGUAGGAGUUUGGGCGAAGUCUACCUGCAAUCAGAGUCAGGGGCGGAGUCCGGCUCCCGUAGGAGUCCGGAUGAAGUUUACCAUCAGUCGAGGUCGGGGAUGAAGUCCGGACGGAAUUUACCAGCAAUCGGGGUCGAGGACGGAGCCCGGCUCCCGUAGGAGUCCGGGCGAAGCCUUUCCACAAUCGGAGUUGGGG